UUACCGGAUUAGAUACCCUGGUAGUCCAUGCCGUAAACGUUGGGCACUAGGUGUGGGGGACAUUCCACGUUUUCCGCGCCGUAGCUAACGCAUUAAGUGCCCCGCCUGGGGAGUACGGCCGCAAGGCUAAAACUCAAAGAAAUUGACGGGGGCCCGCACAAGCGGCGGAGCAUGCGGAUUAAUUCGAUGCAACGCGAAGAACCUUACCAAGGCUUGACAUGAACCGGAAAGGCGUAGAAAUACGUCCCCCACUUGUGGUCGGUUUACAGGUGGUGCAUGGUUGUCGUCAGCUCGUGUCGUGAGAUGUUGGGUUAAGUCCCGCAACGAGCGCAACCCUCGUUCUAUGUUGCCAGCACGUGAUGGUGGGGACUCAUAGGAGACUGCCGGGGUCAACUCGGAGGAAGGUGGGGAUGACGU
rnacentral:rRNA from 1 species